UGGUUAUGCUGAUAAGAGCGUAUGGUGGAUGCCUUGGCACUAAGAGCCGAUGAAAGACGUGAUAAGCUGCGAAAAGCUUCGGGGAGGAGCAAAUAUCCUUUGAUCCGGAGAUUUC
rnacentral:rRNA from 1 species